GCGCUGGUGGUGUAGGGGUUAAGAGCGUGACCACAUACAGAGGCUGUAGUCCUUGAGGCGGCUGUCCCGGGUUCGAGUCCCGGAUCCAGUGACCU